rnacentral:rRNA from 1 species
GUGCACCAGGCGCGAAAACUCCGCAAUGCGCGAAAGCGUGACGGGGUCACCCCGAGUGCCGUCCGCUGAGGAUGGCUUUUGCCUGGUCUAACCAGCCGGGUGAAUAAGGGGAGGGCAAGUCUGGUGUCAGCCGCCGCGGUAAUACCAGCUCCCCGAGUGGUUGGGACGAUUAUUGGGUCUGAAGCGUCCGUAGCCGGCCGGAAAAGUUCCCCGUUAAAUCUGGCGAUCCAAUCGUUGGGCUGCGGGGAAUACUCUUCGGCUUGGGGGCGAGGGAGGUCGGCGGUAGUCCCGGGGUAGGGGCGAAAUCCUAUAAUCCUUGGGGGACCACCGGUGGCGAAGGCGUCCCACUGGAACGGCCCUGACGGUGAGGAACGAAACCUAGGGGAGCGAGCCGGAUUAGAUACCCGCGUAGUCC